rnacentral:rRNA from 1 species
AACGAACGCUGGCGGCAUGCCUAACACAUGCAAGUCGAACGAGAUCUUCGGGUCUAGUGGCGCACGGGUGCGUAACGCGUGGGAAUCUGCCCUCAGGUUCGGAAUAACCAUUGGAAACGAUGGCUAAUACCGGAUGAUGACGUUAAGUCCAAAGAUUUAUCGCCUGAGGAUGAGCCCGCGUAGGAUUAGCUAGUUGGUGUGGUAAAGGCGCACCAAGGCGACGAUCCUUAGCCGGUCUGGGAGGAUGAUCAGCCACACUGGGACUGAGACACGGCCCAGACUCCUACGGGAGGCAGCAGUGGGGAAUAUUGGACAAUGGGCGAAAGCCUGAUCCAGCAAUGCCGCGUGAGUGAUGAAGGCCUUAGGGUUGUAAAGCUCUUUUACCCGGGAUGAUAAUGACAGUACCGGGAGAAUAAGCGCCGGCUAACUCCGUG